rnacentral:rRNA from 1 species
AACGAACGCUGGCGGCAUGCCUAACACAUGCAAGUCGAACGAUGCUUUCGGGCAUAGUGGCGCACGGGUGCGUAACGCGUGGGAAUCUGCCCUUGGGUUCGGAAUAACAGUGAGAAAUUGCUGCUAAUACCGGAUGAUGUCUUCGGACCAAAGAUUUAUCGCCCAGGGAUGAGCCCGCGUAGGAUUAGCUAGUUGGUGGGGUAAUGGCCUACCAAGGCGACGAUCCUUAGCUGGUCUGAGAGGAUGAUCAGCCACACUGGGACUGAGACACGGCCCAGACUCCUACGGGAGGCAGCAGUGGGGAAUAUAGGACAAUGGGCGCAAGCCUGAUCCAGCAAUGCCGCGUGAGUGAUGAAGGCCUUAGGGUUGUAAAGCUCUUUUACCCGGGAUGAUAAUGACAGUACCGGGAGAAUAAGCUCCGGCUAACUCCGUG